GACAGAGGGUGCAAGCGUUGUUCGGAAUUAUUGGGCGUAAAGCGCGUGUAGGCGGCUUUGCAAGUCGGGUGUGAAAGCCCUCGGCUCAACCGAGGAAGUGCGCCCGAAACUGCAGAGCUUGAGUACCGGAGAGGAUGGCGGAAUUCCCCAAGUAGAGGUGAAAUGCGUAGAUAUCCGGAGGAACACCGGUGGCGAAGGCGGCUUCCUGGACCGACACUGACGCUGAGGCGCGAAAGCUAGGGGAGCAAACGGG
rnacentral:rRNA from 1 species